GGGGUUGUGGCUCAACGGUAGAGCGCUCGCCUAGCAGCACAUGUGAGGCCCUGGGUUCGAUCCUCAGCACCACA
rnacentral:tRNA from 1 species